GGAUCCAUAAGCUCAAAAUGGAAAGAGCACCCAAACAGUGGUUUAUAUGUUUGGGAGGAUGGUGGUUCGACUCCACCUGGGUCCU